CCUACGGGAGGCAGCAGUGAGGAAUAUUGGUCAAUGGACGCAAGUCUGAACCAGCCAUGCCGCGUGAAGGAUGAAGGCGUUUGCGUUGUAAACUUCUUUUAUCAGGGAAGCGGUACCUGAGGAAUAAGCACCGGCUAACUCCGUGCCAGCAGCCGCGGUAAUACGGAGGGUGCAAGCGUUAUCCGGAUUUACUGGGUUUAAAGGGUGUGUAGGCGGGCCUUUAAGUCCGUGGUGAAAUACCAGUGCUUAACACUGGAACUGCCAUGGAUACUAUUGGUCUUGAAUGUUGAUGAGGUGGGCGGAAUGUAUCAUGUAGCGGUGAAAUGCUUAGAUAUGAUACAGAACACCGAUUGCGAAGGCAGCUCACUAAACAACAUUGACGCUGAGGCACGAAAGCGUGGGGAUCAAACAGGAUUAGAUACCCUUGUAGUC
rnacentral:rRNA from 1 species